CACUAAGAAGCUUAUAUAGCAUCAGCCUUUUAAGCUGGGGAAGAAACAACACUUUCCUUAGUGA
rnacentral:tRNA from 1 species